rnacentral:rRNA from 1 species
UACGUAGGGUGCAAGCGUUGUCCGGAAUUAUUGGGCGUAAAGAGCUCGUAGGCGGUUUGUCGCGUCGAAUGUGAAAACCCGGGGCUCAACCCCGGGCCUGCAUUCGAUACGGGCAGACUAGAGUUCGGUAGGGGAGUCUGGAAUUCCUGGUGUAGCGGUGAAAUGCGCAGAUAUCAGGAGGAACACCGGUGGCGAAGGCGGGACUCUGGGCCGAUACUGACGCUGAGGCACGAAGGUCAGGGGAGCAAACGGG